UUGACCUCGGAUCAGGUAGGAAUACCCGCUGAACUUAAGCAUAUCAAUAAGCGGAGGAAAAGAAACCAACAGGGAUUGCCCUAGUAACGGCGAGUGAAGCGGCAACAGCUCAAAUUUGAAAUCUGGCUCUCGGGCCCGAGUUGUAAUUUGUAGAGGAUGCUUUUGAUGCGGUGCCUUCCGAGUUCCCUGGAACGGGACGCCAUAGAGGGUGAGAGCCCCGUCUGGUUGGAUGCCAAAUCUCUGUAAAGCUCCUUCGACGAGUCGAGUAGUUUGGGAAUGCUGCUCUAAAUGGGAGGUAUAUGUCUUCUAAAGCUAAAUACCGGCCAGAGACCGAUAGCGCACAAGUAGAGUGAUCGAAAGAUGAAAAGCACUUUGAAAAGAGAGUUAAAAAGUACGUGAAAUUGUUGAAAGGGAAGCGUUUAUGACCAGACUUGGGCUUGGUUAAUCAUCUGGGGUUCUCCCCAGUGCACUUUUCCAGUCCAGGCCAGCAUCAGUUUUCGCCGGGGGAUAAAGGCUUCGGGAAUGUGGCUCCCUCCGGGGAGUGUUAUAGCCCGUUGCGUAAUAACCCUGGCGGGGACUGAGGGUUCGGCGGCUUCUGCAAGGGAUGUCUCG
rnacentral:rRNA from 1 species